AACGAACGCUGGCGGCAGGCCUAACACAUGCAAGUCGAGCGCCCCGCAAGGGGAGCGGCGGACGGGUGAGUAACGCGUGGGAAUUUUUCCUGGAGUACGGAACAACCGAGGGAAACUUCGGCUAAUACCGUAUGAUAUCGAGAGAUCAAAGAUUUAUCGCUCUGGGGUGAGCCCGCGUCAGAUUAGGUAGUUGGUGGGGUAACGGCCUACCAAGCCUGCGAUCUGUAGCUGGUCUGAGAGGACGAUCAGCCACACUGGGACUGAGACACGGCCCAGACUCCUACGGGAGGCAGCAGUGGGGAAUCUUGCGCAAUGGGCGAAAGCCUGACGCAGCCAUGCCGCGUGAGUGAAGAAGGUCUUAGGAUUGUAAAGCUCUUUCGCUCGUGACGAUGAUGACGGUAACGAGAGAAGAAGCCCCGGCUAACUUCGUGCCAGCCGCCGCCGUAA
rnacentral:rRNA from 1 species